AGUAGGGAAAGAGAUUUGGUCAAGAAACUCCCUGCCUCAGUUCAGCAGCCUGGCCAUCUGGUCUCAGUGUCUGUGACUGAGGCCAGGUACAACUGAGAGCCUCCCCACUCCACCCCCUGGAACCACGUCUUCAUGACAGGACAUCAAGGAAAAUGGAGGCCUUCUGAAGAAUGGAGGAGAGCACGAAUACUUUGCAAUACCGAUUGAGAAGGAUGCCGAUGUUUUUUGAUAAAUUAGAUACUGAAAUAC
rnacentral:lncRNA from 1 species